GAUGAACGCUGGCGGCGUGCCUAAUACAUGCAAGUCGAGCGAACAGACGAGGAGCUUGCUCCUCUGACGUUAGCGGCGGACGGGUGAGUAACACGUGGAUAACCUACCUAUAAGACUGGGAUAACUUCGGGAAACCGGAGCUAAUACCGGAUAAUAUAUUGAACCGCAUGGUUCAAUAGUGAAAGACGGUUUUGCUGUCACUUAUAGAUGGAUCCGCGCCGCAUUAGCUAGUUGGUAAGGUAACGGCUUACCAAGGCAACGAUGCGUAGCCGACCUGAGAGGGUGAUCGGCCACACUGGAACUGAGACACGGUCCAGACUCCUACGGGAGGCAGCAGUAGGGAAUCUUCCGCAAUGGGCGAAAGCCUGACGGAGCAACGCCGCGUGAGUGAUGAAGGUCUUCGGAUCGUAAAACUCUGUUAUGAGGGAAGAACAAAUGUGUAAGUAACUAUGCACGUCUUGACGGUACCUAAUCAGAAAGCCCCGGCUAACUACGUG
rnacentral:rRNA from 1 species